AGAGAUUUCACGAAGAAAACACCUGUGGACUUACACCAGCCUCUGCAGAGGAUGCUGAGAGAGCUGUGAGGCAUGCCAAAGCUGUCUCGCCCCGUCAUCCGUCAAGGAAUUUCCCGCCAAGCUCAGAUUGGCAAGCAGUUAACAAGAACACAGGGGCGGUGACAGAGCUGGAUGAGGACCUGGAGUUGGGGGAGUGUUCACACACCCCGCGGUGGGCCUGCUCUAGAGACACGCACUCUGGAACACGCCCUGCAGAGCUGCAGAUGGACGCCCUCGGUGACCUGGCAGCCCUGCUCCCAGGAUGCGCCUCACAGGGUGUGCGUGUGCGUGUGCGCAGCCCAAGCCCCCGUGGCAGGGAAGGCGGGCACCCGGCUUGUCGCACAGCCAUACAGAAGUUAUCGUUCCGCACCGGAGAGGAACGGACUAUGGAAACAGCUGAACGCAAAUGAACACUGGUGUCAGGUGACUGGGAAAAGAACACAUCACUUGAUGAGGCCACUUGUGUGAAAUUCAAACCAAUGCAAAGCUACGUUCUGCUUGCGGCUCCGUGCAGAGUGCUACCGCUGUACGUGCAAAAACAGUCCACCAGACAGACGGGCCGCAGCAUGACAACCACGAGAGGACUCGGGACAGCCUCUCCAGCCGGGCCGCUGUGGGUAACACGCCUCAGACGUCCCCAGGGAGCGAUGCCCCAGCACCAGGGUCCUCGAGUGAAUGUUGCUUGUGAGGUUCCUGGCAAGAUCGGUCCAGGUUUUAGGGGUGAACGGGCGGUCCUCCAACCUACAAAAGCCACACAAGAACGUUGAGCCUUAGCUUCCGGGGAGGACGGUACCCACGUAGCCACACAGCCCCACCUCCUGUCUCACGUUCGUUAUUCACCCAAGAGUGACUGAGGGGUGAUUCCCGCCUUCCCUGAGUAAACCUGCAUCAAAUUCAGCACCCAACUCGCAAAUCGCCAACAGGAACCAACGCGCCCUGGGGCCAGGGCCAGCUCGCCUGAGCUGACCAUGCGGCUCUAACGCCAAGCCAGGGACUCGAUCCUGCCCUUGGAAUAUUACUUCUUUUUACGUUUGUU